rnacentral:rRNA from 1 species
AUGAACGCUGGCGGCGUGCCUCAUCCAUGCCAGUCGAGCGAACAGACGAGGAGCUUGCUCCUCUGACGUUAGCGGCGGACGGGUGAGUAACACGUGGAUAACCUACCUAUAAGACUGGGAUAACUUCGGGAAACCGGAGCUAAUACCGGAUAAUAUAUUGAACCGCAUGGUUCAAUAGUGAAAGACGGUUUUGCUGUCACUUAUAGAUGGAUCCGCGCCGCAUUAGCUAGUUGGUAAGGUAACGGCUUACCAAGGCAACGAUGCGUAGCCGACCUGAGAGGGUGGUCGGCCACACUGGAACUGAGACACGGUCCAGACUCCUACGGGAGGCAGCAGUAGGGAAUCUUCCGCAAUGGGCGAAAGCCUGACGGAGCAACGCCGCGUGAGUGAUGAAGGUCUUCGGAUCGUAAAACUCUGUUAUUAGGGAAGAACAAAUGUGUAAGUAACUAUGCACGUCUUGACGGUACCUAAUCAGAAAGCCACGGCUAACUACGUG